rnacentral:lncRNA from 1 species
UUAUAUUGAAUCUUCCUGGAUUUCUACGAUUGUCCAGGAGGUUUCAUCUAUUUUUGUUAAGGUGGAAUGCACAUCCAUGAAUCAAUUACCUACUAUAUUACAUUUCCAAUUUAAUAUUCAUUAAAUCUUAAGAAUGGCACGGAUUGUGCAGUUUACGGAUUCAUUAACUAUUACUCCUAAUGCCAUGCAACAUUUUAUUGCAAUUUUCAUAUGACACCUGUCUUCUGCUACGAUGUUACUCUUACAGCUUCUAGUUUACGGAUUCAUUAACUAUUACUCCUAAUGCCAUGCAACAUUUUAUUGCAAUUUUCAUAUGACACCUGUCUUCUGCUACGAUGUUACUCUUACAGCUUCUAGUAUCUGUUUCUUGUCUAAUGCACACCCUGGUUUUCUCGGAUUAGUGUAGUCAAACAAAAAGGCUUAUAAAAACCAAAUCUAAUAUUUUAGUGCUGUGGUCUGAUUACAAUGAAUUGGUUGGCUUUGUAAAAUAAUCUUCGUUGAACAUAGAUUAAUAUAUUGUUUGCAAAAGAAAAUCUAGCAUUUGUCCAGAUAACAUACAGAAUAUCCCAUUACUCUUAUUUUAAUUUUAUUGUAUGUGUGUGGUUCUUACAUUGCCCAUAGCAGGUCAUCUUACUAGCAUUACUGUAAUGAUCGAAAAGAUAUGUUGUUUUGAGGUACAAUUUUGUUGCAUAAUGUGAUUUUUUUCCUUGUUUUGGAUUUGUAUGGUAUCUUAAAUGGUGUAUCUUAUUCCAUAUGCACAAUGUUUUUAGCCCGUGUUGCCUAUCAAUAACACCUGCAAGGAGGACUAAUUACAUUGGGAACAAAUAUCCUUAGGGCCUGCUUUGGUGUUUCGACAUACUGAUUAUGAGCAUUGUCUAAAGUACCAGUUUUGAGUGUUUAUGAGUGAAUUGAUUUUAAGUGGUUUAUUAGUAAUUUUUAAAACUGUCCAACUUAUGCAUGGGAGUCUAUUAUCCAUCGGUUUUGAAAGUUUUUUAAAAGAACAUAUAUGGAAUUUUUAUCUCAUAAGU